AGGGACUGCCAUGGGCUGAAGACUGGAACCCUUGUAAUUUGAAAGCCCCUCCAAGCAACACUCUGGAGAGUUUUUGUAAUUCCCCACAGAAUAAAGUGUAUGAAGUGUCAGCAAGACUCAUGUAAAGACCAGACCUGAUGACGUUCCACCAUAGGAACUUAAUAUGGAUUCUAUGCAAGAUCUGCUAUGUAUCAAUCUACAGGAACAGAGACCGAAUAAAGAACAGUUAAGAUCCCUCUUCGUUCAUCUAGCAUUUUCCUUAGAGGUGGUACAGGUUGAGUAUCCCAUAUCCAAAUAUUCCGAAAUACGGAAUAUUCCGAAAUACGGACUUUUUUGAGUAAG